rnacentral:rRNA from 1 species
AUUGAACGCUGGCGGCAGGCUUAACACAUGCAAGUCGAGCGGAGCGAGGGUGCUUGCACCUUAGCUUAGCGGCGGACGGGUGAGUAAUGCUUAGGAAUCUGCCUAUUAGUGGGGGACACCAUUCCGAAAGGAAUGCUAAUACCGCAUACGCCCUACGGGGGAAAGCAGGGGAUCUUCGGACCGUGCGCUAAUAGAUGAGCCUCAGUCGGAUUAGCUAGUUGGUGGGGUAAAGGCCUACCAAGGCGACGAUCUGUAGCGGGUCUUAGAGGAUGAUCCGCCACACUGGGACUGAGACACGGCCCAGACUCCUACGGGAGGCAGCAGUGGGGAAUAUUGGACAAUGGGCGGAAGCCUGAUCCAGCCAUGCCGCGUGUGUGAAGAAGGCCUUUUGGUUGUAAAGCACUUUAAGCGAGGAGGAGGCUACUUAGAUUAAUACUCUGGGAUAGUGGACGUUACUCGCAGAAUAAGCACCGGCUAACUCUGUGCCAGCCGCCGCGGUAACAC